rnacentral:rRNA from 1 species
UACGGGGGGGGCAAGCGUUGUUCGGAAUUACUGGGCGUAAAGGGCUCGUAGGCGGCCAACUAAGUCAGACGUGAAAUCCCCAGGCUUAACCUGGGAACUGCAUCCGAUACUGGAUGGCUUGAAUCCGGGAGAGGGAUGCAGAAUUCCAGGUGUAGCGGUGAAAUGCGUAGAUAUCUGGAGGAAUACCGGUGGCGAAGGCGGCAUCCUGGACCGGCAUUGACGCUGAUGAGCGAAAGCUAGGGGAGCAAACGGG